rnacentral:rRNA from 1 species
GUGGGGAAUAUUGGACAAUGGGCGAAAGCCUGAUCCAGCCAUGCCGCGUGUGUGAAGAAGGUCUUCGGAUUGUAAAGCACUUUAAGUUGGGAGGAAGGGCAGUAAGUUAAUACCUUGCUGUUUUGACGUUACCGACAGAAUAAGCACCGGCUAACUUCGUGCCAGCAGCCGCGGUAAUACGAAGGGUGCAAGCGUUAAUCGGAAUUACUGGGCGUAAAGCGCGCGUAGGUGGUUUUGUAAGUUGGAGGUGAAAUCCCCGGGCUCAACCUGGGAACUGCCUCCAAAACUGCAUGACUAGUGUACGGUAGAGGGUAGUGGAAUUUCCUGUGUAGCGGUGAAAUGCGUAGAUAUAGGAAGGAACACCAGUGGCGAAGGCGACCACCUGGACUGAUACUGACACUGAGGUGCGAAAGCGUGGGGAGCAAACAGGAUUAGAUACCCCUGUAGUCC